UACGGGGGGGGCAAGCGUUGUUCGGAAUUACUGGGCGUAAAGGGCUUGUAGGUGGCCAACUAAGUCAGACGUGAAAUCCCUCGGCUUAACCGGGGAACUGCGUCUGAUACUGGAUGGCUUGAGUUUGGGAGAGGGAUGCGGAAUUCCAGGUGUAGCGGUGAAAUGCGUAGAUAUCUGGAGGAACACCGGUGGCGAAGGCGGCAUCCUGGACCAACACUGACACUGAAAAGCGAAAGCCAGGGGAGCAAACAGG
rnacentral:rRNA from 1 species